ACUUUAAUACUCUAUAUCAUAACAUUUCAAAUAUGUUUAUUUCAUCUUUUGCAGCAAAGUUCGCGCAUUUUAUGUUGAGAUAACCGAGAAAAUUAUUGCGAAAUUCCCACUUAAUGAUCCAGUCCUCAAUGAUCAAGUCCUCAAGUGUCUUUCCUUCCUACGUCCAGAAUUCAGGGAGACAACGCCCGCUUCAUCUGUUGCCAAGCUCGCCUUGGUAUGGGUAACACAGAUAGUGUGGAGGAGGAAUAAAUGGACUACCAACUCAUGGCGAUCGGGUCUCUUCCUGCGUAUGAAGAGGGGAUGCCACUGGACCCAUAUUGGGUAGCAUUAGAGAAACAUAAAACUCCACUCCAAAAACCAAGGUUUCCCACCCUUGUUCCGUUAAUCCAGAGGGACGACAGAGAAAAUCUUGCCAUAAAUACAAUUCAGCGGUCAUUACUGUCAUUAAAAAUGAAUAUGAACACUGUUUGUUUUAAGCAUAAUAUCACAUCUGGUAUGUGUGCUGAAGCCCUAAAAGUCUGCAAUUGUUAAGAACACGAACUCUAUGUGCUGUCAUACUUGACCUUGACGCUGGUAAACAUUACUCAAGUCAUUUAAAUGUUUGAGUAUCAUGUGAUAUAGAAUAGAUGAGUAUAGCUUGUAUUCUUUGUAACUGUGCUAAAUUAUUUUAUUAUAUUGAUGUCUGAUUAAACGUAAAUAAAUUACCUUGCUGUGUUUGUUUUGAUGACUGGAAAAAUUGCGUUACGUGACAUGUAUUUAUUAUCACGACUUUAAGGUAUAACGGGUGAACAAACAUGGUUGCGCCCAUUCACCGGGUUUAUAACUUACAACUAACUUGCUUUUAGGGAAUAAUAAAUGAAAUAAUGAAAUACUAUAAAAUGAUAAAAAUGUCGAUCUGAAAGACUACUUCUAAAACUAGUCAGUUAACUGUUUAUCAUUAGAAUUCAGGAGAAAGUCGUCCUUAUUUAAUAACGUGAUACGAUUGACA